AGCCAAUGGUGAGAGACGUCACUGAGACGCAGAUGUAGCCUCCAGGAACACCCUACACACACUGGCUGAGUGUUGCCGCCAGAUAAGAAAAUGCCCUAGAUGAAGCAAAGAAGACAUGUUCUGGGAGGUACUGCACUUCUCCAAUGCAGAGAAAAGGGAACUCAAGGAGUGGAGGGAAGCAGAAAGACAGGAAAAGAAAAUCAGGAGUUUGUAAAUGACACUACUGAGCAGAUGAUUAAAGUCAUGGAGGAGCAAACGCAGAUGCUGAAGUCCUUAAUAAUGCUACAGACUGAGCAGAUGCAUGCCUGCCCUCCCCUGCAGUACAUUCAGAACUCUUUUACAUGCCCCUGCAAAUUCCACCCACACAGUCCUUUCUGCUUUCCUGGACUUCUUGGUUUUCCCUUCAGACCACCCCCUUGGACAACUUUCAAAAUGACAGCUGGACCUACACACAACUCUGAAAGUCUGCCCUUCCCUGGUACGUCAUUUCCCACCAAGCACUUUUGUGUGUGUGUGUGUUUAUUUAAUAAAAGCA